GUAGAGGUACUGGCAUGGCUUUGAGUGUUUGCUCAACUUGGUAAUGCAUGAGACCCUAUUAUGAGGAACAUUUUUUGGUUCUACAGCUCAGUAGGGUUUUCUUUAGGCCUUCUUUGACGAACAAGGACACUGCAUCUGGACUAUAUGAUCUAUAUACUACACCUUUGCUUAUUUUGACUGACGUUUGGUUAUGGUUAUGGGUGAUUGCUCUUUAAACCUUUAAAUAUAUUCUUCUCUACUUUUGGAUGAAUGGAUCCCCUUCCUUUUAUAUAUGUGACAAAACAAGAGUGUUACAUAAAAUGGCGCCCGAACAUGGACAUCCUGUAACAGAGUAUGAACAAGGCCGAGGCUGGGGUGGGUACGGACCCAGACUUCGCUAAUGAACCUUUCACAACUCUUUGAGAACCAAUUCAAGAACUAAUACACUCCCUUAGUAGUUUGUACUUGGAGUCUAAAGAGGAGGCAGCAGUCCCAGAUGAGAAUGAUGGUUGGAAUGAUUUACCACCACCUCCACCGAUAGAAAAAGACGACGAAAGUCUCAUCAGUCUCACCAUCUC